UCUUAAAAAAACAUUUGAAAGCAUUUUAUGUAACUCGGGGACUGUUAUGGUGUGGCUCACAUACCUAGAUAGAGCCUGGAGUAGUGGUCUGAGUAUUGUACUAUAACUCUGAAGAACAGGGUUCAAAACUCCACUUGGCCAUGAAAACCCAUUGGAUGAUCUUGGGCAAGUCACACACUCUCAGGACCAGAAACCCAUGUGAUAGUUUUAUAUUAGGGUUGCCAUAAUUCAGAAAUGACUUGGAGGUACAGUAUCAACAACCACAUACACCAGGAAUUAGUUAUGGCAACACCUCCCCCUCCUCCCACAAACACACACAAAUUGGAACUCCUGCAAACAUUAACUACAGUAGAGUCUUGCCUAUCCAACGUUCUGGAUUAUCCAAUGCAGUCUGCCUCCCGCCCGGAUCCACAGCUGUUUCCCUAGGCAGCAAGGACUGAACGUUUUACAGAUUUAAUUUCUGACAAAGUUGUUACUGUACAUUCAUUUUAUGCAAUUCUAUCUUUAUUUGCAGUCAAUUUGUUACUUGCCAAAGUUUUUGUAGUUAAUGUUUUCAAUGCAUUGUAAUGUUUUGGUGCUACAUUCGUAAAUACAGUAAUUACUACAUAAUGUUACAGUGUAUUGAACUGCUUUUUCUGUCGAUUUGUUGUAAAACAUAAUGUUUUGGUGCUUAAUUUGUAAAAUCGUAACGUAAUUUGAUGUUUAAUAGGCUUUUCCUUAAUCCCACCUUAUUAUCCAACAUAUUCACUUAUCCAGCGUUCUGCUGGCCCGUUUAUGUUAGAUAAGUGAGACUCUACUGUAAUAUGUUUUCUCCAAACAAAUAAAGAUGGUGCCAUUAAAACACUGAAUCCAAGUAUGAAGAGCCUCUGGGUCUGAUAACAUAUUCCAGAGUUCUUGGGAGAUACAUCCCACAUUUCAUCUGGUUUCCUUGACAAGGCUUCAUAUAUUUAUCACUGCAUGACAAAUUUUUUGACAGAUACAUUUUUAGCUGAUAUGGAAAUGCAGUGAUAGGAAAGCAGUUUAUCAGAAUCAACUUACCAUUAGGCAGAAUGAGGCAGCUGCCUCGGGUGACAGAUUUUGAAUGUACUGUAGAGGCAGCUAAUUCCUAGUUAUUC
rnacentral:lncRNA from 1 species